CUCUCAGCCGCUAAACCCCCCAAUUUUUAAUGGUUGACCUCGGAUCAGGUAGGAAUACCCGCUGAACUUAAGCAUAUCAAUAAGCGGAGGAAAAGAAACCAACAGGGAUUGCCCUAGUAACGGCGAGUGAAGCGGCAACAGCUCAAAUUUGAAAUCUGGCCCUUGGGUCCGAAUUGUAAUUUGUAGAGGAUGUUUUUGGUGCGGUAUCUUCCGAGUUCCUUGGAACAGGACGCCUUAGAGGGUGAGAGCCCCGUACGGUUGAAUGCCUAGCCUUUGUAAAACUCCUUCGACGAGUCGAGUAGUUUGGGAAUGCUGCUCUAAAUGGGAGGUAAAUUUCUUCUAAAGCUAAAUACCGGCCAGAGACCGAUAGCGCACAAGUAGAGUGAUCGAAAGAUGAAAAGCACUUUGAAAAGAGGGUUAAAUAGCACGUGAAAUUGUUGAAAGGGAAGGAUUUAUGACCAGACUUUUUCUAGGCGAAUCAUCCGGUGUUCUCACCGGUGCACUUCGUUUAGUUCAGGCCAGCAUCGAUUUUCGGGGCGGGAUAAAAGCUUUAGGAAUGUAGCUCCCUCGGGAGUGUUAUAGCCUGUUGUAUAAUAUCGCCCUGGGGAUCGAGGUACGCGCUUCUGCAAGGAUGCUGGCGUAAUGGUUAUCAAUCACCCGUCUUGAAACACGGACCAAGGAGUCGAACAUUUGUGCAAGUGUUUGGGUGUUAAACCCUCACGCGUAAUGAAAGUGAACGGAGGUGAGAGCCCUUUCGGGGGUGCAUCAUCGACCGAUCCUGAUGUCUUCGGAUGGAUUUGAGUAAGAGCAUAAAUGUUCGGACCCGAAAGAUGGUGAACUAUGCGUGGAUAGGGUGAAGCCAGAGGAAACUCUGGUGGAGGCUCGCAGCGGUUCUGACGUGCAAAUCGAUCGUCAAAUCUGCGCAUGGGGGCGAAAGACUAAUCGAACC
rnacentral:rRNA from 1 species